rnacentral:lncRNA from 1 species
UUGGUUAUGAUCUUGAAUAUUAUUAUAGAUAGAGAUAAACUGUAUACAGCAAUAAUGUUCAGCAAAGUAAGAUCCACAAAUAAGUCAACAAUUACCAAAAUGGUUAGUUGACCCCUUAAGGAGUUAUUCAAUAUUGCCCUUUAUAGUCAAUUUUUAAUAAUUUUCAUAAAUUUUGUCAAUUUUUGUAAUUUUUGUAUUUUAACAAAAUAUUUGCCUCUGUAACUAAUGGGCCAAGUUCAUUAUAAAUAGAGAUAAUUGUAAGAAGCAAGAAUGUUCAGUAAAGUAAGAUCUACAAACAUAUCAACAUCACCAAAACACAAUUUUGUCAUUAAUCCAUCUGUGCCCUUUGUUUAAUAUGCACAUAGACCAAGGUGAGCGACACAGGCUCUUAAGAGCCUCUAGUUUUAUUUAGUCAUUUGUUUGAAUAUACAGUAACUUUUAAUUUAAAGUAUUUGUAGAUAAAAAAAAAAAUAGCAAAUAUAACCAGUUUAUGAAUGAAGCAAAAGGCAC